CCCAAGUGGCUCAGUGGUAAAGAAUCUGCCUGCCAAGCAGGAGACCUGGGUUUGAUCCCUGGUUCUGGGA
rnacentral:tRNA from 1 species